UACCAGACUCCUACGGGAGGCAGCAGUGGGGGAUAUUGCACAAUGGGGGCAACCCUGAUGCAGCGACGCCGCGUGAGCGAUGGAGUACUUCGGUAUGUAAAGCUCUGUCAGCAGGGAAGAGACUGACGGUACCUGACCAAGAAGCCCCGGCUAAAUACGUGCCAGCAGCCGCGGUAAUACGUAUGGGGCAAGCGUUAUCCGGAUUUACUGGGUGUAAAGGGAGCGUAGACGGCAGUGCAAGUCCGGAGUGAAAGCCCGGGGCUCAACCCUGGGACUGCUCUGGAAACUGUAAAGCUGGAGUGCGGGAGGGGCAGGCGGAAUUCCUGGUGUAGCGGUGAAAUGCGUAGAUAUCAGGAGGAACACCAGUGGCGAAGGCGGCCUGCUGGACGAUGACUGACGUUGAGGCUCGGAAGCGUGGGGAGCAAACAGGAUUAGAUACCCUCGUAGA
rnacentral:rRNA from 1 species